UUUAUGGAGAGUUUGAUCCUGGCUCAGAGUGAACGCUGGCGGCGUGCCUAAUACAUGCAAGUCGAACGAUGAAGCUUCUAGCUUGCUAGAAUGCUGAUUAGUGGCGCACGGGUGAGUAACGCAUAGGUCAUGUGCCUCUUAGUUUGGGAUAGCCAUUGGAAACGAUGAUUAAUACCAGAUACUCCCUACGGGGGAAAGAUUUAUCGCUAAGAGAUCAGCCUAUGUCCUAUCAGCUUGUUGGUAAGGUAAUGGCUUACCAAGGCUAUGACGGGUAUCCGGCCUGAGAGGGUGAACGGACACACUGGAACUGAGACACGGUCCAGACUCCUACGGGAGGCAGCAGUAGGGAAUAUUGCUCAAUGGGGGAAACCCUGAAGCAGCAACGCCGCGUGGAGGAUGAAGGUUUUAGGAUUGUAAACUCCUUUUGUUAGAGAAGAUAAUGACGGUAUCUAACGAAUAAGCACCGGCUAACUCCGUGCCAGCAGCCGCGGUAAUACGGAGGGUGCAAGCGUUACUCGGAAUCACUGGGCGUAAAGAGCGCGUAGGCGGGAUAGUCAGUCAGGUGUGAAAUCCUAUGGCUUAACCAUAGAACUGCAUUUGAAACUACUAUUCUAGAGUGUGGGAGAGGUAGGUGGAAUUCUUGGUGUAGGGGUAAAAUCCGUAGAGAUCAAGAGGAAUACUCAUUGCGAAGGCGACCUGCUGGAACAUUACUGACGCUGAUUGCGCGAAAGCGUGGGGAGCAAACAGGAUUAGAUACCCUGGUAGUCCACGCCCUAAACGAUGGAUGCUAGUUGUUGGAGGGCUUAGUCUCUCCAGUAAUGCAGCUAACGCAUUAAGCAUCCCGCCUGGGGAGUACGGUCGCAAGAUUAAAACUCAAAGGAAUAGACGGGGACCCGCACAAGCGGUGGAGCAUGUGGUUUAAUUCGAAGAUACACGAAGAACCUUACCUAGGCUUGACAUUGAGAGAAUCCGCUAGAAAUAGUGGAGUGUCUAGCUUGCUAGACCUUGAAAACAGGUGCUGCACGGCUGUCGUCAGCUCGUGUCGUGAGAUGUUGGGUUAAGUCCCGCAACGAGCGCAACCCCCUUUCUUAGUUGCUAACAGGUUAUGCUGAGAACUCUAAGGAUACUGCCUCCGUAAGGAGGAGGAAGGUGGGGACGACGUCAAGUCAUCAUGGCCCUUACGCCUAGGGCUACACACGUGCUACAAUGGGGUGCACAAAGAGAAGCAAUACUGCGAAGUGGAGCCAAUCUUCAAAACACCUCUCAGUUCGGAUUGUAGGCUGCAACUCGCCUGCAUGAAGCUGGAAUCGCUAGUAAUCGCAAAUCAGCCAUGUUGCGGUGAAUACGUUCCCGGGUCUUGUACUCACCGCCCGUCACACCAUGGGAGUUGUGUUUGCCUUAAGUCAGGAUACUAAAUUGGCUACUGCCCACGGCACACACAGCGACUGGGGUGAAGUCGUAACAAGGUAACCGUAGGUGAACCUGCGGCUGGAUCACCUCCUU
rnacentral:rRNA from 1 species